AAAUAAAUUAAAUGAGAAAUGCUUGAAACAAGUGAUAUAAAAUUAAAACAUACAUUUAUAAUUAUGAAUUUAUUUAAUUUAACAAUUGCUCAGACAAAGAAGGGAAAUAAUUUAGGUAGCGCUUUGGUAUAAAAGUUUCAAAAAUUAAGAUACACCAAAAGAUACAUUAAGGAAAUCCCUCUUCAGUUUUAGAAUGAAUCCAAGUACGUUAUCUGAUAAAAACAAAAUGUCUUCCACAGUUGAAAUAAAAAGAACUCCAUUAUAUUUCAAAAAAGAUUUAAAAAAAAAGGAAAGCCACUAACAUUCCAGAUAAUAGUGUUCUCACAACAAUAAUUUUAUCAUUGUUUUUUGAUGUUGAACACAAACUGAAGUACUAGACCAGAAACAGUGUUUGCAAUGUUUUCUACUUCUCUUUCAACUGAUUUAGAACUCAAAAACAAGAACAAAAUGUGUAGUAUUAAAUAAACAAUAGAAUUUUUUUCAGCAACACCCACACAUGCAUAAAUUGUAUUUAAUAACAUCCUGAAUAGGUUUUUCUAUUGUAAACAAUAUACAGUGGAUCCUUUACUCUUAUAUUCAUCUACAUACAGUUUUUCUGAAAUAACAUUAAAGAAAUAUCAGUGGUAAAGAAGAACCUGAAAGAUACAAUGUCAAAUGUGUGGAUGAGCUUUCAUCUCUUCCUGGGACACCUUCAUCCUUCAGACAAUAUGCAUUCAUAAUAGGC